rnacentral:rRNA from 1 species
CUUUCAGUUGGGAGGAAAAGUUAGUAGUUAAUACCUGCUAGCCGUGACGUUAACCACAGAUUAAGCACCGGCUAACUCCGUGCCAGCAGCCGCGGUAAUACGGAGGGUGCGAGCGUUAAUCGGAAUUACUGGGCGUAAAGCGCACGCAGGCGGUUUGUUAAGCUAGAUGUGAAAGCCCCGGGCUCAACCUGGGAUGGGCAUUUAGAACUGGCAGACUAGAGUCUUGCAGAGGGGAGUGGAAUUCCAGGUGUAGCGGUGAAAUGCGUAGAUAUCUGGAGGAACAUCAUUGGCGAAGGCGACUCCCUGGCCAAAGACUGACGCUCAUGUGCGAAAGUGUGGGUAGCGAACAGGAUUAGAUACCCUGGUAGUCCACACCGUAAACGCUGUCUACUAGCUGUGGGUGCCUCUAWGGCKUGCGUACCGAASCUAACGCGCUAAUUAAACCGCCUGGGGAGUACGGCCGCARGGUUAAAACUCAAAUGAAUUGACGGGAGCCCGCACAAGCGGUGGAGCAUGUGAUUUAAUUCGAUGCACCGCGAAGAACCUUACCUACACUUG